CAGCUUAUGAUCGAGUUUUGGCAGAGUCAGCUGCUCAACGACAACGACAACCACAAACGAAAUAUACAGCCAAUGGAGUCUAUCCAACAAAAACGCACUGUGUGUGUUUUUUAUAAAUAAAAUGUUUCUCUGAGUUAGGAUUGAACGGUGAUAUAUUUUUUGUUGUUGCUGUUGUUGUUGUUGUUGUUGAGCAGAUGUUGAAUUACCAAAAAUAGCACUUGAUGAGCACACCGUAUCCCGUGAGAGAAAGCAAGACAGCGAAACAAAAAACCAUGAACAAAAUAAUCAGUUGGAUUAAUCGAACGUUCAGUGAUUGUUUGGGGCGUCGUUGUUCCGGUCAUGAGCCACUUAAAGAAUUCGAUGGUCAGGAUAUGACGGACGUGAUGGAAUUGAAGCGAAUCAAAUUAUUUAAAAAUGCGUCAAUCAUUCAAACUGCGCCGAUAUUUGGUCUCAACGAUGACUGUGUUCUGCAAAUACUUUCCCAUUUAUCAUUGUAUGAUUUGGCAUCGGUAUCGUUGACGUGUCGUCAUUUUCAAGAUUUGGCCAAGCAUAAAUUUGCCCAACAAAAUAAAAGUAAGCAUCUCGCAUUUUCCGAUGCAAUUGUAUUUGGCUAUGAUGAGGUCAAAGCCGAAGAACGUCUCACACGUGCUUUAGAUAUUAUGAAAGCAUUUGGCCGUUUAAUCGACACAAUCAUCGUGUUGGACAUCAUUUAUUUUCGUAUUUUACCCGUUUUACAAGCCGAAAUGGACUUACAAGCUUGAACAGCAAGCAAUCAUUUCUGAUACACUGUCAGCGGUUCGUUGUUGAAGAAGAACAAAAAGCUUGAUCUAAAGUAUCCUACAUACGAUUCAAUGUGAGUGGAAAACACUACCAAAAAUCAUUUUGACCAACUUUCAACAAUCUCAAUAAACGGCCACUAAAACUCGAACUUGUGCCAUUCUGCGGAAAUAUUCAAUACACAGUUUUUUUUUCUUUGUUUUUAGUCAUAAGAUAUUUAUUUUUAUUUAAAAUUUACAGUAUAUUUAGUACACGAAUUGUAAGAAUUUCGAAUGAGGCGAUGCCAUUUCGAAUGAUUGGAUUUCCGGCCGUCAAGUGUUUUCAUCCAAUCAUCGUGGUGAAUCGUUUUAAUCUUAAUUGUGUUAUUAUAUAUUGCAAUUACAUAAAUCGUGCAGCGGAAUCAUUCGAAAUGGCAACUGUUCAUUCAACUAGUUUGUAAGAGACAAAAUGAAAAUCUGUAUACGAUAUUAAUUUUUAUUGAUAAAUAAAGAUGUUUUUUUUGCUUCA